GACGAACGCUGGCGGCGUGCUUAACACAUGCAAGUCGAACGGAAAGGCCCGGCUUUUGUGGGGUGCUCGAGUGGCGAACGGGUGAGUAACACGUGAGUAACCUGCCCUUGACUGUGGGAUAACUUCAGGAAACUGGGGCUAAUACCGGAUAGGAGAUACUGCUGCAUGGGGGGGGUUGGAAAGUUUCGGCGGUUGUGGAUGGACUCGCGGCUUAGCAGCUUGUUGGUGGGGUAGUGGCUUCCCAAGGCUGUGACGGGUAGCCCGCCUGAGAGGGUGACCGGCCACCAUGGGACUGAGGUACGGCCCAGACGCCUACCGGAGGCAGCAGGCGGGAAUAUUGCACAAUGGGCGGAAGCCUGAUGUAGCAAUCCCGCGUGCGGGAUGACGGCCUACGGGUUGUAAACCGCUUUCGCCUGUGACGAAGCGUGAUUGACGGUACUGGGUAAAGAAGCACCGGCUAACUACGUG
rnacentral:rRNA from 1 species